UUCCAAAGUGUCGAGUUCAGCACAGGGCAGCUUCUCUGUUCUGUUAAACUUUGGAACACUGAAAUACGACGCAAGUGAUAAUUGGGUAAAAAAUAUUCUGUGUUCUCCAGGCCCAGAGAG